UACGGAGGGUGCAAGCGUUAUCCGGAUUCACUGGGUUUAAAGGGUGCGUAGGUGGGCAGGUAAGUCAGUGGUGAAAUCUCCGGGCUUAACCCGGAAACUGCCAUUGAUACUAUUUGUCUUGAAUACCGUGGAGGUCAGCGGAAUAUGUCAUGUAGCGGUGAAAUGCUUAGAUAUGACAUAGAACACCAAUUGCGUAGGCAGCUUACUACACGAUCAUUGACGCUGAGGCACGAAAGCGUGGGGAGCAAACAGG
rnacentral:rRNA from 1 species